rnacentral:misc_RNA from 1 species
GAUGAAGAACGUAGCGAAAUGCGAUAAGUAAUGUGAAUUGCAGAAUUCAGUGAAUCAUCGAAUCUUUGAACGCAUCUUGCGCUCCUUGGUAUUCCGAGGAGCAUGCCUGUUUGAGUGUCAUUAAAUUCUCAACUACACUGAUUUUUUUUUUUUUUUGGUUGGUGUAGAUUGGAUUUGGGGGGAUUUUUUGCGGGCUUUGUAAAAUGAAGUCAGCUCCCCUGAAAUUAAUUAGUGGUACCUUAGUAGAACCGUCUACAGGUGUGAUAAUUUAUCUACGCCUCAGAUGUCUGCACGAAAAAGGUUAUGCUGCUUCUUAACCUCACUAAUGAUAAUCUUGACCUCAAAUCAGGUAGGACUACCCGCUGAACUUAAGCAUAUCAAUAAGCGGAGGA